rnacentral:lncRNA from 1 species
UAAUGUAGUGAACCCUAAGACAUGCAAGAUACCCAAUAAGUUAUGAAGAGAAUUAUAUUGGCAGAGACACUGCCAGCUUGGACUGAAAGGGACAGAGCCAGUGCAAAAGGACAAGACGGCUUUGCACACCCAAACUUUUACAGGCAGGAAGCAGGCAGAUGAAACUGUGGAGCUGCAAACAUCUUUCAUGGAAGAGGUGGGACGACUCAGGGAGAGCCAUGGAGAAUCAUUCAUGAACAGGAGUAGGCAUCAAAGAGUUCCUAGCAUUUCUCCAACUGGAUUACAGAAUUUCCACACACCAGUGACUUAUAUGUAUGACUUAUAUGUGCCUCCUGUCCCCUGCCCCACUUUUUUUUUUUUUUGAGACAGAGUCUUGCUAUGUUGCCCAGGCUGGUCUCGAACUCCUGGGCUCAAGUAAUCCUCCCACCUUGGCCUCCUGAGUAGCUGGGAUGACAGGCACACGCUACCACGCCCGGCUUCCCCUGCUUUUGAGCAAGAAUGUCCUUACUGGUUAUCCUGUGCCUGCCUCUACCACUGCACACUGGGAGUGUGGAGAUGACCUGUCUCUUUAGCUCACAGGUCUGCAGAUAGGAAAUGCACUUAAGGGCUGGAUGCGGUGGCUCACGCCUGUAAUCCCAACACUUUGGGAGGCCAAGGCAAGUGGAUCACCUGAGGUCAGGAGUUAAAGACGAGCCUGGCCAACAUGGUGAAAUCCCGUCUCUACUAAAGAAAAUUAGCUGGGAUGGUGGUGCAUGCCUGUAGUCCCAGCUACUUGGGAUGCUGAGGCAAGAGAAUCACUUGAACCUGGGAAGCAGAGUUUUCAGUGAGGUGAGAUGGUGGUGGCUCUGCACUUCAGCUUGGGAGACAGAGCAAGACUCCAUUUCAAAAAAAAAAAAAAAAAAGAAAUGCACUUAAGGAGCCAUAGUUACGGAACUGCAUGCUAGAGCCACAUCCCCACCUGGACCUGACUGAGAUGAUGAGAUUCUGUACUUUGAGCUGAUGCUGUAAUGGGAUGAUGGGGGAUCCUGGAAGGUGGUGAGUAUAUUUGGCAUGUGGGAGGGGGGAAAUCACUGAGAGCCAGCGGUGGCCUGUGGAGCCAGCCACCAAGGCAGCCUGAUGAUUCUCGUCCCCUGGUGCUCGUUCCUGUGUGUCAUCUCCUUCCUCACUGGAUAGGACCAACAGACCUAGGUCAUAAAAGACAAUGGAGGGGCCCGGCGCUGUGGCUCACGUCUGUAAUCCCAGCACUUUGGGAGGCUGAGGCGAGUGGAUCACCUGAGGUCGGGAGUUUGAGACCAGCCUGGCCAACAUGGUGAAACCCUGUCUCUACUAAAAAUACAAAAAUUAGCUGGGCGUGAUGGCACACCUCGGUAAUCCCAGCUACUUGGGUGGUUGAGGCAGGAAAAUCACUUGAACCUGGGAGGCGGAGGUUGCAGUGAGCCGAUAUUACGCCACUGCACUCCAGCCUGGGCGACACAGUGAGACUCCAUCUCAAAAAUAAAAAAGACAAUGAGGCUUCCACCUUGCCCUCUCUGGAAUUAUUUGCUCUGGAGAAGCCAGUUGCCAUGCUGCGAGGAUACUCAAGCAACCCUGUGGAGAGAUCUACAUGGCAGGGAUUUGUUGUUUCCUGCCAGCAGCUAGUGCGAACUUGCCAGCCACAUGAACAAGCUUUCUCAGAGUGCAUCCUCUAGGGGCGGUCAUGCCUUUGAUGCCCACAGCCCCACUGACAUCUUGGCCACAGCCUCAGAAGAGACCCUGUGCCGGAGCCACCCAGCCGAGCCACUGCUGAGAUCCUGACCCUCAGAAACAGAAGUAAUAAAUAUUGUUAAUUUAAGCUCCUAAAUUGGGGGCAGUUUGUUACACAGUGAUAGAUAACGAAUUCAUACUCCGUAAUUCCCCUCGCACAUUUGUGGUGUCUUUUUAAAAAUACCAAUUCUCAUAUACACAGUGGUCUGUUUCUGAUCGCUCUGUUGUGUUUCUCAGGUAUUUUUGUUUCUGUGCCCGAACUGAUACCGUUCUCACUGUUGUGGCUUUGCAGCCUAUCUUAAUAUCUGGCAGGGUCGGCCUUUCCUCUUUGCUCUUAUUUUUAAAAACUGACCUAAGUUUGGGAGGAUGGCUUGAGCCCAGGAGGUCAAGGCUGCUGUAAGCUGUGGUCAUGCCACUGCACUCAGCCUGGAUGACAGCAAGACCCUGUCUC